CAAGGCUUCCUACACACACAGGUGAAAGGGGGUUUUUGCACACUGAAAGCAAGCCCAGAAGAAGUCUUUACAGCCAGGGACCAUCACAGAGUGAGGGGAUUCUGGAAUAUAACAGCUAACAUUCAACAAAAGAGAGCAAGCAAAAGGCACAAACCUCAGGGAGUCCAUCAAACGGCUCCGGACACAGACAGAUUAACAAGCUUAUCAUGGCUGGCUUCUACAAAAAACAUCGGACAAAGGGGGAUUCAUGCUCCCACGAAGCUCCCAGACCAAGGACCUAUAUUCCCAGGAGGAAGACAGAUGAUUGUCUAAGUAUGUCCUGCAAGGAUAGGAGGACUGCUGGCACCCAGAGCUUUACUUCUUGACUUAUCAUCAGAAUCACUCAAACUGUGGUGGCUCUUGAUUGACUUUCAGAUGUGUUCCAGGAGGUCCUUAAGAACCAACCCAUUCCUGCCAGACAGUGAUGCUCUCUUCCUCACCCUUUGAGACAGGGUUUCCCGCUGGACUUGGAAUUCACUACUUUUGGUAGAUCAGCUCCUACUAAGGUCCUGGGAUCCACCUGUCUUUGUGUUCACUGGAGGUGCAGGUCCCUUGAUUUUGCUGCAUUCAGUUAUUAAGUGCAAAUGACCACAUUGCAACGUCUUCCCAUCCAAAGAGUCUGUCAGCCACUCGUUCUGAAGUAAUAAUUUGAGUUAGUCGCCUUUCUGUCCGGCAGUCACAGCAUGCAUUUUAGAAGUUGUUCCGCUAAUAACCCUCCCAUUCACAUGAGUGCAGUUAUCUCUUUUCCGGGUCUCAUGUCCGUGAACUGGUUUUCUCAAGUCCAAUCCAACUAAUGGGUUGCUUGUCUUUCUUUUGCCGAAGACAGGGAUGACAGAGUUCUGAAAUAGCUGAUUGUCUUAACUUACAGGUAAAAGUUGAGACUUGAAAU